CAGACAGGCAGAGGCAUUAAGAUGGAGUCACAGAUCCAGGUCUUCAUAUUUCUGCUCUUCUGGAUGUCUGGUGCUGAAGGGGACAUUGUGAUGACCCAGUCUCCUGAAAUCAUGUCCACAUCUGUAGGAGAAAGGAUCUCAAUAAGCUGCAAGUCCAGUCAGAGUGUAUAUAGUAAUGUAGCCUGGUAUCAACAGAAAUCAGGGCAGCCUCCUAAACUGCUAAUCUAUGGUGCAUCCUAUCGGCAAACUGGGGUCCCUGAUCGCUUCACAGGCAGUGGAUCUGGGACAGAUUUCACUCUCAGCAUCAGCAGUGUGCAGGCUGAAGACCUGGCAGUUUAUUACUGUCAGCAGUAUUAUGACUAUCCUCCCACAGUGCUUCAGCUUCUAACAAAAACCUCACUGAGAGUUUCAACAGCUGCCUGCACCACACAGCCCUGA